UUAGUGGCGGACGGGUGAGUAACGCGUGGGUAACCUGCCUUAUACAGGGGGAUAACACUUAGAAAUAGGUGCUAAUACCGCAUAAGCGCACAGCUUCGCAUGAAGCAGUGUGAAAAACUCCGGUGGUAUACGAUGGUUCCGCGUCUGAUUAGCUAGUUGGCGGGGUAACGGCCCACCAAGGCAGCGAUCAGUAGCCGGCCUGAGAGGGUGAACGGCCACAUUGGGACUGAGACACGGCCCAAACUCCUACGGGAGGCAGCAGUGGGGAAUAUUGCACAAUGGGGGAAACCCUGAUGCAGCGACGCCGCGUGAGUGAAGAAGUAUUUCGGUACGUAAAGCUCUAUCAGCAGGGAAGAAAAUGACGGUACCUGACUAAGAAGCCCCGGCUAACUACGUGCCAGCAGCCGCGGUAAUACGUAGGGGGCAAGCGUUAUCCGGAUUUACUGGGUGUAAAGGGAGCGUAGACGGCAGCGCAAGUCUGGAGUGAAAUGCCGGGGCCCAACCCCGGAACUGCUUUGGAAACUGUGCAGCUUGAGUGCGGGAGAGGUAAGUGGAAUUCCUAGUGUAGCGGUGAAAUGCGUAGAUAUUAGGAGGAACACCAGUGGCGAAGGCGGCUUACUGGACCGUAACUGACGUUGAGGCUCGAAAGCGUGGGGAGCAAACAGGAUUAGAUACCCUGGUAGUCCACGCCGUAAACGAUGAUUACUAGGUGUCGGGGGACCAAGGUCCUCCGGUGCCGGCGCAAACGCAUUAAGUAAUCCACCUGGGGAGUACGUUCGCAAGAAUGAAACUCAAAGGAAUUGAC
rnacentral:rRNA from 1 species